GAUGAACGCUGGCGGCGUGCCUAAUACAUGCAAGUCGAGCGAAGCGGGGACGGGGGAGUAACACGUAGAGAAACUCCUAUAAGACUGGGGUAAAUUCGGGAAACCGGAGCUAAACCGGAUACUGAUCCAUUGAUCCGCGGUGCAUUAGCUGGUGGGUAAGGUAACGGCUUCCCAAGGCAACGAUGCAUAGCCGACCUGAGAGGGUGAUCGGCCACACUGGAACUGAGACACGGUCCAGACUCCUACGGGAGGCAGCAGUAGGGAAUCUUCCGCAAUGGGCGAAAGCCUGACGGAGCAACGCCGCGUGAGUGAUGAAGGUCUUCGGAUCGUAAAACUCUGUUAUUAGGGAAGCGGUACCUAACCAGAAAGCCACGGCUAACUCCGUGCCAGCAGCCGCGGUAAUAC
rnacentral:rRNA from 1 species